CGACUCAUGCUAGGCCAGCGAGGGGAUGUCUGGGGUGAAAGAACUGCACAAGUGCACGCCAGCCUGAAGUGCAGAGCUCGGCACUAGCAUGCUGAAAACAGGACUCCCUCUGAGGCAAGGCAAGGCCUCGGGAGACAGGGCAGGGAGGGCAUCUUUAGCGUUCCCCACAGGGUUUGGAGACGGCAGGUUCGACUCCAACGAACGGCCACAUUUCCAAAACUUCAUGGCCCAAUCUGGAAACCUAGAAAGUUGACAACUGAUUGGCCUAGGUUAUACCGAGGAGCGGGAGCCACAUCGUAUGCAUGAGAGUCGAUGAGCCCUCAUGGGGGCUAACAUAGAUCGACAGUGGCACACUGAACCCAGCCCCCCAUCCCAGCUUACUAAUAACCUUUCUGUGGACAUGGGAAUUGUGAAGCCAAGCCAGAUGCCCCGGAAACUCACUGAACAUGCUCUGCCAUGGGAGAGGAGCUGGGAUCAGCACUCCAGGGGCUGACAGGAAUGCCUGGCUCACAUCAGGGAAUGAAGAGGAUUCAGAGAUUUAAAGUCAGAAGACACCCUUUGGAUCACCUAGUCUGGUUCUGUGGAGCACUGAGCUCUCCUCUUUUUAAAGAAUGUGUUUCCAACUUAGCCAAAAAGCCUCCCACGGAUCCUUUGGGGAAAGCGACCCCAAGUGGUGAGCAGGCCCCAAAUGUACAAUUGUCUGGCUCGUCACGCUGCACCCAGCUUAGAAGUGGACCAGGAGAGGACUAACGAUUGUAAGAUGUGCCGUCACCCUAAAGGGAAGCCAGCUGAAGGAGGGACGGGUCUCAGGCCUAUAUGCAGAAAUGGUAGCAGUUUAACCUAUCCCUGUGCAAACCCAUGGGCACAGUUAUUUCAGUGAGCACGGCUUUCUUCAGGUUAGCUUGUGGCCUUUAAGAACAAGUUUAAGCUAAACCAAAAGAAACCGCCCUGAAUCCAAAAGAGUGUGCACAACAGUUCGCACCAGCUUAAGUGAAACCAGUGCCGCUUCCUCGGGUAGCCCGGCGCUGCGGAAGAGGCUACCUGUCCACUGAUGGGGCUGCAGCGCCAGGCACACAUUCAGUGCCGCAGAAGCAGAUAAUCUCACAGUAUUAGGAGCCGUCGAGGUUUUCAGAUGCGAGGAGUUGGACUGCGGAACAGCCCACCCACUAUGGGCCAUGCAAGAGAUCCCAGCGGCAGCCCCCUGCUCUCUGGGGGGG